rnacentral:misc_RNA from 1 species
GAUGAAGAACGCAGCGAAAUGCGAUAAGUAGUGUGAAUUGCAGAAUUCAGUGAAUCAUCGAAUCUUUGAACGCACAUUGCGCCCCUUGGUAUUCCAUGGGGCAUGCCUGUUCGAGCGUCAUUUGUACCCCCAAGCUUUGCUUGGUGUUGGGCGUCUUGUCUUGUAUUAGACUCGCCUUAAAGUCAUUGGCAGCCAGUGUUUUUGGUAGUAAGCGCAGCACAUUUUGCGUCUUAGUCCUUGAAUCGUGGCAUCCAUGAAGCCUUUUUUCACUUUUGACCUCGGAUCAGGUAGGGAUACCCGCUGAACUUAAGCAUAUCAAUAAGCGGAGGA